rnacentral:rRNA from 1 species
CCUACGGGAGGCAGCAGUGAGGAAUAUUGGUCAAUGGGCGCGAGCCUGAACCAGCCAAGUCGCGUGAGGGAGGACGGCCCUACGGGUUGUAAACCUCUUUUGCCGGGGAGCAACGGGCGCCACGUGUGGCGCCCCUGAGAGUACCCGGAGAAAAAGCAUCGGCUAACUCCGUGCCAGCAGCCGCGGGAAACGGGGGGUUGCGAGCGUUAUCCGGAUGUAUUGGGUUUAAAGGGUGCGUAGGCGGAACGUUAAGUCAGGGGUCAAAUUGAGGGGCUCAACCCCUUCCCGCCAUUGAAACUGGUUCUCUUGAGUGGAAGAGAAGUAUGCGGAAUGCGUGGUGUAGCGGUGAAAUGCAUAGAUAUCACGCAGAACCCCGAUUGCGAAGGCAGCAUGCCGGCUUCCGACUGACGCUGAAGCACGAAAGCGUGGGGAUCGAACAGGAUUAGAUACCCCAGUAGUC